CUACGGGCCGCUGCAGUGGGGAAUAUUGCACAAUGGGCGCAAGCCUGAUGCAGCCAUGCCGCGUGUAUGAAGAAGGCCUUCGGGUUGUAAAGUACUUUCAGCGGGGAGGAAGGGAGUAAAGUUAAUACCUUUGCUCAUUGACGUUACCCGCAGAAGAAGCACCGGCUAACUCCGUGCCAGCAGCCGCGGUAAUACGGAGGGUGCAAGCGUUAAUCGGAAUUACUGGGCGUAAAGCGCACGCAGGCGGUUCGUUAAGUCAGAUGUGAAAUCCCCGGGCUCAACCUGGGAACUGCAUCUGAUACUGGCAAGCUUGAGUCUCGUAGAGGGGGGUAGAAUUCCAGGUGUAGCGGUGAAAUGCGUAGAGAUCUGGAGGAAUACCGGUGGCGAAGGCGGCCCCCUUGACGAAGACUGACGCUCAGGUGCGAAAGCGUGGGGAGCAAACAGGAUUAGAUACCCCAGUAGUC
rnacentral:rRNA from 1 species